CAAUAGCGUAUAUUAAAGUUGUUGCGGUUAAAAGACUCGUAGUUGGAUUUCUGCCGAGGACGACCGGUCCGCCCACUGGGUGAGUAUCUGGGACGACCUGGGCAUCCUUCCAGAGAAUGUGUCUGCUCUUGACUGAGUGGUGCAGUAUCUGGAACUUUUACUUUGAGGAAAUUAGAGUGUUUCAAGCAGGCAUACGCCUUGAAUACAUUAGCAUGGAAUAAUAAGAUAGGACCUCGGUUCUAUUUUGUUGGUUUCUUAGAGCUGAGGUAAUGAUUAAUAGGGAUAGUUGGGGGCGAUCCAUAUUUAAACUUGUCAGAGGUGAAAUUACUUGGAUUUGUUAAAGAUGAACUACUGCGAAAGCAUUUGCCAAGGAUGUUUUC
rnacentral:rRNA from 1 species